UGGGCAGGGUGGAUGUUGCUCCCUCAAUUUUGACAACAGAGAUAAAACAAAACAAAACAAAACAAAAUUCUCCAAAACAAAGGGUACACAUUGUAUAAGUCUAUGCCUUGUGACAGGUGAGUAGUCGGUGUGGCGUGGGUGAUGACAAAACCAACCCUUUGACUUAGUUCUAGGUAAUUUUCAAUGCAUUUCCUCUCCCUCCAAAAAAGAGUUGUAUCUUUUUUACAGAUGAUUGGAAGCAAAUUAUUUGCUCAUAGAACCACGAUAACCUUCACUUUUGAGAAAAGGCGUCAGCUUCACCAUAGUUCAGUCUUAAAAAGGCAAGUCUUUCUGACAUCAUUUUGGUUAACCACAAAGAGAAAGUUCCAAGGAGAAAGAAAAUGUAUGUGCUCUCGCAUCGCCAGUGUUGUGAAGAUGAAGGAUGAACACUCUAUCACUAAGUCACAGCAGAAUGAUUUCACUGGGCCAAAGUAUGAAACUAUAUCAAGACACUUAACCAUGAAGACCAAUACAAACCUUCAGAAGAAGUGAAUUACCGAAGCCAACAUCAAACUUUUCUAAUAUAAAAUUAGAGAAUUACUAUUCUCUCACUACUUAAACUUUUUCCUCAGUUGGAUUAAUGACUGUUCUAGGGUAAUUAACUAUUUUGUACCUCCCACUGUAUCCAACACAACAACAGUCCCUUAGCAGUUGCUUUAACCUGCCAAUUUUCAGCUAUCAUAGCUGCUUGACAGUCAAUGAGAAUGUUGUCAGUGCUAUUGGGAAGGUUCACAAUAGACGUGUAAUUUUAAUUUUUCAGAGCCAUCGUAUCUCAGAUUUUCU
rnacentral:lncRNA from 1 species